GCGAGCGUAGCUCAGUGGUAGAGCUCUACCUUGCCAAGGUAGAAGUCGAGGGUUCAAAUCCCUUCGCUCGCU
rnacentral:tRNA from 1 species